AGUCCCUUAGCUCAGUGGUUAGAGCAUGCGACUCAUAAUCGCUUGGUCGUUGGUUCAAAGCCAACAGGGACUA
rnacentral:tRNA from 1 species